CUUUUCUAAACACACAGAAAAAGCAUUUUGAGCCAAAAGGCCAAAUGUCUUCCUCUCCUUGGAUAGUGUUUUGGGUGGAGGUGGACUGGACAAGUGCUGGCCCACAUACAGAAAUGAGAUCAGAGCAGACUACGUGUGGUUCUAAGAAAAUGCUACAUUGAGAAACUGGCCAUGAGACUAUCUCCUGAAGCACUACCAAAGACAAGGGCUCCAGGACACCCAUCCAACCUUCUAUCAUGAUGAGCCAUAAUCCAUUUAGAGCUAAGGCAGUCAUCAUGGACCUGAAGAAGAGAACAGACAAUGAUGUGAACAGGACAAGACCGCACCAGUCUGAAUGCACUGGUUAGUGUAAUGAAGAGGCAAUUUGGAGAGAAAAAUAAGAUAUAAAAACUGACUGGAUGUAGCUAAUGUAAUAGAAAGAUAAACUACAGAUGACUCUGAGGUCCCUGGUAAGUUCCUUUCCAGAACCACUCAGAGAGAAGCAGAGAUGAGCUCCUCUCAAACUCAAGAACUGGGAUUCUCCUGCAACUCGUAUGAGAAACCUGUCUCUGUGCAUAGAGUAAAUCUGUGUUCCCACUCCAGCUCUUGCCACUGGAAAUGGGGAUUUCUUGGAGACAUACUAAGCACUAUCUCCCCAUGAUAGAGUCAUCAGUUAACUUUACAAGAUUCCUCCUGUAACCUUCAGUAUGGAUCAGUAUGUAAUGACAUGCUUUUAAGUGGAAAGCACAUUGGAGAUGCCAUGUCAAGACAACAGCAAACAGAUGUUCUGGCAAAAAAGGAGUGCCCUCAUGUGCUGAUGAGUGGCAGAAUUUCAUGACAACAGAGUUGAUACCUAAUUUCUGCCUGUCAUCCACCCAAAUCUAUGCCCUUACAAAGGAGCAUUGAUGGACAAUACAUCUAACAAAGAUGUAAACUAAAGGAUAAUGUAAAAAGUCAUCAGUGAGCAAAGAGGAUCAUGAAGGUUUCAAGAUCUUUCGAAAACAUCCCAACUGAAUGACAAUGACUUGGCCUCAAUUCCAAAUUCCCAGAAGAAUGUAGAAGUUCGGUGAGUUUGGAGACUGGAACAGAGAAGAAAUUAUCCAGUGAAAUUUGAUGAGAGGUGGACACAAAAGCCAAAGGUCAGCUGUAAAUGAGAUGUGUGGAUUUUAGAGGUUGACAGAAGUCAUCAUGCAUUUACCAUUUAAUGGAGCCUAGUUCAAGAAAACAUUACCGUCUACAGGCUCACAUACUUGGACACUUGGUCUCGAAUUGGUGGCAUUGUUUGGGGAAGCCUUGUUGAGGAAGAACAUCACUGGGGUUGGGGUCUAAGCAUUCACAGCUUCACCCCACUUCUGGUUCACUCUGCUUCAUGGUUGUGAUUGAAGAUGUGAUCUCUCAGCUUCCUGCUCCUGCUGCAACGCCUGCCUCUUGUUUGUACCUCCCAAGGAAGAUGGACUCUUAGCCUUCUGGGACUAGAUGCAGACAUUGUUAAGACUGGAUUCUGUCAGAUUGAUGACUACCUGAAUUAUCAUGGAGCUUUUACCCAGAAACUGAUGGAAGCAGAUGCAGAAAUUCACAGCUAAGGACUGGACAGAGCUCCCAGGGUCCAGUCGAAGAGAGGGAGGAGUGAUAAUACGAGCAAAGGGGUCAAGACCAUUUGGGGGAUAUGUAUGGAAACAGCUGACCUGAGCUAAUAGGAGCUCACUGAGGCUGGACUGACAGCAGGGGAACCUGCAUAAGACCAAACUAGGCCCUCUGAAUGUGGGUGACAGUUGUGUGGCUUGGGCAGUCUGUGGGGCCACUGAGAGUGGGAUCAGGAUUUAUCCCUAGUACUUGACUGGCUUUUUGGAGCCCAUUCACUUUGGAGCGAUACCAUGCUCAGUCUAAAUAUUGGAGGAGGGGUUGAUUAUGUGCCAG
ensembl:lncRNA